AUACAUACAUAAUACUAGUAAACUAUACGUAAUACAUACAUAAUACUAGUAAACUAUACAUAAUACUAGUAAACUAUACAUAAUACAUACAUAAUACUAGUAAACUAUACAUAAUACAUGGAGAUUUCUGUUGUUAUCAGACUGGAGUCACUUCACUUCUUUCCUCCCUCCGUCCUUCAACCCACGUUACCUUCUACGUUCACUGCCAUCUUCAUGCUGGUGUGUGUGUGUGUGUGUGUGUGUGUGUGUGUGUGUGUGUGUGUUGGUAAGUGAGAGAGAGAGAAGCCCAUCUGGUGUCGUAAACUGUCUGCCUCUCUUACUGAGUGGGAUUAUCUUACUCUAAAAGGCUUCAUCAAUCAUAUCAGCUACUCUGUGUGUGUGUGUGUGUGUCUGUGUGUGUGUGUAUGCGUGUGCGUGUGUAAUGUGAAAAGGUCUGAAAGGAUGAUGAUGUUUAACACCAUUUGAAUUACACCCAUCAGCAUCAGCGGUAACCCCGGCAACAGCCUCAUUCUGUACUUGUGUUUCUUUGGUAGCCGUGGUUACGGUUCUGCAGGAGUACUACAGUAUCUGUCUGUGAUAUCAGCUCCAUAGCAGUUUUAUGGUGGUAACAACUAUGCAAGACUGCUACAGUUUGUACUACAGUGGUAUCCAUGGCAACCUUGACUGGGCCGACUGGGGGGGUUAGUGGUUUGUCUCUCUGUCCACUACGAGCUCCACGUGCGCGCACACACGCACAUUGGCACAGAUGCACGGGGUUUGUUUUGGCGCUACGGCUCAUUUCCCCUGAUAGACGCCGAGGGGGAAACGCCGCUCGGUGAUAUUACAGGAAUCAACUCCAUAACAGUAACACCUGCAGGGUUAUGACAUCACAGUCUCCUCCUGCAGCAGCUGUGCUUUCUUUGUUAUCUUUGUUAUUCUUCUUAAAAAACACAGUUGUGUAGUUAAAUACACGUUUAUAGUUGGCUGGGAGUUUAAUAGGGCUUCAAUGGUAGCAUACUUUAAAAAUACUUAAUUUAAAGUAGUUAUUGAAAUUAACUAAGAACUGUCAUAUCAUUUUAUUUUGUGCAAAUAAUUCAUCAAGUCAACAAACCCGACCUGCAGCCAAAAGUUCUGCACUAAUGUUUCUGUGAAAUAAUCCGUGACACGGUGACGCAGACGGAAGUAUUUAUAGUCUCGCCGAUAGCAGAUUAAUGUGCAUCCUGUGUGAGGGGGAAAGAGAAGCUGGAAUACCUGAAGGGUGUGUGUGUGUGUGUGUGUGUGUGUGUGUGUGUGUGUGUGUGUGUGUGUGUGUGUGUGUGUGUGUGUAAAAUGAAUGACUGAGAAGGAGGGAAACGAGAGUUAAAGCAAAAAGAGGAGUGGAAGGAGAGGAGGCUGAAUUAGAGGUGGGGGGG
ensembl:lncRNA